UACGUAGGGCGCAAGCGUUGUCCGGAAUUAUUGGGCGUAAAGAGCUCGUAGGGGGCGUGUCGCGUCUGCGGUGAAAGCCCAUGGCUUAACUGUGGGUCUGCGGUGGAUACGGGCAGGCUAGAGGCUGGUAGGGGCAAGCGGAAUUCCUGGUGUAGCGGUGAAAUGCGCAGAUAUCAGGAGGAACACCGGUGGCGAAGGCGGCUUGCUGGGCCAGUUCUGACGCUGAGGAGCGAAAGCGUGGGGAGCGAACAGG
rnacentral:rRNA from 1 species